rnacentral:rRNA from 1 species
UGGGGAAUAUUGGACAAUGGGCGAAAGCCUGAUCCAGCCAUGCCGCGUGAGUGAUGAAGGCCCUAGGGUUGUAAAGCUCUUUCGACGGGGAAGAUAAUGACGGUACCCGUAGAAGAAGCCCCGGCUAACUUCGUGCCAGCAGCCGCGGUAAUACGAAGGGGGCUAGCGUUGCUCGGAAUUACUGGGCGUAAAGCGCACGUAGGCGGGUCGUUAAGUCGGGGGUGAAAUCCUGGAGCUCAACUCCAGAACUGCCUUCGAUACUGGCGAUCUCGAGUCCGGGAGAGGUGAGUGGAACUCCGAGUGUAGAGGUGAAAUUCGUAGAUAUUCGGAAGAACACCAGUGGCGAAGGCGGCUCACUGGCCCGGUACUGACGCUGAGGUGCGAAAGCGUGGGGAGCAAACA